rnacentral:misc_RNA from 1 species
GAUGAAGAACGUAGCGAAAUGCGAUAAGUAAUGUGAAUUGCAGAAUUCAGUGAACCAUCGAGUCUUUGAACGCACAUUGCGCCCCCUGGUAUUCCGGGGGGCAUGCCUGUCCGAGCGUCAUUGCUGCCCUCAAGCACGGCUUGUGUGUUGGGCCUCCGUCCUCCUCCCGGGGGACGGGCCCGAAAGGCAGCGGCGGCACCGCGUCCGGUCCUCGAGCGUAUGGGGCUUCGUCACCCGCUCUUGUAGGCCCGGCCGGCGCUUGCCGACACAUCAAUCUUUUUUCCAGGUUGACCUCGGAUCAGGUAGGGAUACCCGCUGAACUUAAGCAUAUCAAUAAGCGGAGGA